UGCGUAGGCGGCGAGGUAAGUCAGUUGUGAAAUUCCCCGGCUCAACCGGCGGGACUGCGAUUGAUACUGCUUUGCUUGAAACAGGUUGAGGUAAGCGGAAUGUGGCAUGUAGCGGUGAAAUGCAUAGAUAUGCCAUAGAACACCGAUUGCGAAGGCAGCUUGCUGGGCCUGAUUUGACGCUGAGGCACGAAAGCGUGGGGAGCAAACAGGAUUAGAUACCCUGGUAGUCCACGCCCUAAACGAUGUUUACUUGCUGUUCCUGUCUUGAACGGGAGUGGCGUAGCGAAAGCGAUAAGUAAACCACCUGGGGAGUACGCCGGCAACGGUGAA
rnacentral:rRNA from 1 species